GACGAACGCUGGCGGCGCGCCUAACACAUGCAAGUCGAACGAGCGAGAGAGAGCUUGCUUUCUUGAGCGAGUGGCGAACGGGUGAGUAACGCGUGAGGAACCUGCCUCAAAGAGGGGGACAACAGUUGGAAACGACUGCUAAUACCGCAUAAGCCCACGACCCGGCAUCGGGUGGAGGGAAAAGGAGCAAUCCGCUUUGAGAUGGCCUCGCGUCCGAUUAGCUAGUUGGUGAGGUAACGGCCCACCAAGGCGACGAUCGGUAGCCGGACUGAGAGGUUGAACGGCCACAUUGGGACUGAGACACGGCCCAGACUCCUACGGGAGGCAGCAGUGGGGAAUAUUGCACAAUGGGGGAAACCCUGAUGCAGCGACGCCGCGUGGAGGAAGAAGGUCUUCGGAUUGUAAACUCCUGUUGUUGAGGAAGAUAAUGACGGUACUCAACAAGGAAGUGACGGCUAACUACGUG
rnacentral:rRNA from 1 species